AUUUGUUUAUUAGGUUCACACAAUUCUGUAUAUUCAACUUACAUUAAAAUUCGACAUUAAUAAAAUAUAAGUACAAUAUCGAAAUCACUCUUUCAUGAAAUUAGCUUUGUUUUUGUCAGAGAAAAACAGACUUAAUUUAAUAAAAUAAUAAAACUAAUGAUAGAAAAAUAUAUAAAGCAAGAGAAAACUAUUAAUAAGAACGAUAUUGAUACAAAUCAACGGUAAAAACUAUAUUUGAUAAAAAUGAGAAAUCUAUCGAGUACUAGCAGAUAGCCGUGCUUUUAUACUUUUUUUUUUAUUGCUUUUAUGUGUGGACGAGCUCACAGCCCAUCUGUGGUUACCGGAGCCCAUAGACAUCUACAAUGUAAAUGCGCCAACCACCUUGAGAUAUAAGUUCUAAGGUCUCAGUAUAGUUACAACUCGUAUUAAAUUUAUUAUUCAAGAAGAAUAGAAUACGUUACAUUUUCUCGAGAUAGGGUGUUGCAUAAGUUAAUCUCUGUAAACGGUCGAAGGACCACUUCAACGGUCGGUUAGUUCUUUUGUCGUCUAUUUUAUGCACAUAUGAGAACGGUCAAUUCGUUCCUUGUCGUCUGGUUCGUGUCGGUCUUUUAGGAAGUCAAAAAAAGUACUGCAUGUCAUGACUAGCGUCCGCCCUCGUUCCAUUUAUUUUCAAAUACUUGUCAAGUCUCUAUCUUAGUCUGUGUCUAGUCGUUGUAGGUCUUAUGUCCUGUCAAAGAGGUUGCACGCCACGACACUCUGGUUCACAAACUGGUCCCAUAACAAUGGUUACCAUGACAAUUGUUACUUUGUGUAUAAGACAGUGAAUGAAAAACCCAUUCUGAAUAAGAUAAUAAAACUAAACGCCUAAAUCGCAAAAACAGGAUUUAUGCCAAAUUAUGUACCUACACCGGUCGGAUAGUUUUGAAGAUCACGACUCGAAUCGUUUGAAGGUCUUCCAUGACGUAUUAUCCAAAAAUUUGACUUCACAUGAUGUUUCGAUUUUCGGUAGAUAUUUAUUGAUACCAUCCUGAUCUAACGGCACAUAAUCAAAUUUCUCCCAUUCAGGAAAUAAAGUUUCACCGGUCAGAUGAGUUUGACAACUGGAAAAAUCAUAAAUGUUUACAAUUUGGUUGAGAAUUUAACAUUCCAUAGGGAUCAUCAAUGAGGGCUCAAGACUGAAAUCUAGGGCGGCAGAUUUUAGUCGCGGCAUAUUUGAAGAAAAAGUAUUGUUUUACAUAAAUAAAAAUUUCAUAUCUGUUUACCUA